rnacentral:rRNA from 1 species
CUACCGGAGUGACGGUACCUGAGAAGAAAGCCCCGGCUAACUACGUGCCAGCAGCCGCGGUAAUACGUAGGGGGCAAGCGUUGUCCGGAAUUAUUGGGCGUAAAGCGCGCGCAGGCGGCUACUUAAGUCUGGUGUUUAAACCAUGGGCUCAACCUGUGGUCGCACUGGAAACUGGGUGGCUUGAGUACAGAAGAGGAAAGUGGAAUUCCACGUGUAGCGGUGAAAUGCGUAGAGAUGUGGAGG